UGCUGUGAUGAUUCACUAGACUAGAGUCUCUGAUUAUACCAUGAAGCUCUUUCACAGUGCACUGAGCA
ensembl:snoRNA